rnacentral:tRNA from 1 species
CUUACUGGCGAAAUUGGUAUACGCGCUUGUUUUGGGGACAAGUACCGUAAAGGUGUGCGGGUUCAAAUCCCGCGUAUAGA